UAGGGAAUUUUGCGCAAUGGGGGCAACCCUGACGCAGCGACGCCGCGUGAGUGAAGAAGGCCUUCGGGUUGUAAAGCUCUGUCAGGAGGGACGAAUAACUGGGGUCUAAUAGGCCACCAGGAUGACGGUACCUUCGGAGGAAGCACCGGCUAACUCUGUGCCAGCAGCCGCGGUAAUACAGAGGGUGCAAGCGUUAUUCGGAAUCACUGGGCGUAAAGCGCAUGUAGGUGGGAUACCAAGUCAGGUGUGAAAUCCCGGGGCUUAACCUCGGAAUUGCAUUUGAAACUGGUAUUCUAGAGAUUGAGAGAGGAAGGCGGAAUUUCUGGUGUAGAGGUGAAAUUCGUAGAUAUCAGGAGGAACAUCGGAGGCGAAGGCGGCUUUCUGGCUCGAUACUGACACU
rnacentral:rRNA from 1 species